rnacentral:rRNA from 1 species
UACGUAGGGGGCAAGCGUUGUCCGGAUUUAUUGGGCGUAAAGAGCGUGUAGGCGGCUUUACAGGUCCGUUGUGAAAACUCGAGGCUCAACCUCGAGACGCCGGUGGAAACCGUAAAGCUAGAGUCCGGAAGAGGAGAGUGGAAUUCCUGGUGUAGCGGUGAAAUGCGCAGAUAUCAGGAGGAACACCCGUGGCGAAGGCGGCUAUCUGGACGGUUUCUGACACUAAGACUCGAAAGCGUGGGGAGCAAACAGG